AAAGUAUAGUUGAUUCACAUGCUGUGCCAGUUUCUGCUGUAACUUCAGGUUUUUUAAAUUAAAAUAUAAAUAUUUAAAUAUAUAAAAAUUUGUAUACACACACACACAAGUGAAAAUGUUUUCCCAGGGUUGUACAAUAGCAAGAACGACAGCCCAUAACACUCCUUUAUAGAUGCCACUCAGAUUCAAGGGUCAUUUCCCGAUUUCCUAUUAUGUGAUUGUAUUUAACCUUCCUAAUAACGCAGAAAUCCAAUUUGCAGAUGAGGAACUAUGUAUGUUCUAAGAGGUUGUGUGCCUUCCUAAAAUAGCCCAGUAUGGGGGAGAAUUUGGAACAGAAUAUAAUUCUUUUGGCUCCAUUUAGAAUCCCACCUGUACACGCAGCUGCUGUUCAGUUUCAGGUGCUAAUCAUCUUACGGGAUCUUCUAUCCCGAGGAAGGAACUCAGUUUUGAUAAAUGGCGAACUUAAUGUCCCAUCAACUGAAAAUUUCAGUGCUACAAAUAUUACUUUGCCUCUCUCUGUUUGUUUGUUUGUUUUGGUUUUGGUUGUUCCCACAGCAUGUGGAAGUUCCUGGGCCAGGGUUCGAACCUGAGCUGCUACAGUGACAAUGCCAGAUCCUUAACCUGCGGCUCCACAAGGAAACAAUACCCCUCUCUUUUUCUAAGAUCUGCUCUUGCACAAACUCGAGAGAUUCAUGCUGGAGGGCCCACAAUCGGCACAGUAAAAUCAGUGUCUUUGUCAUUUCACUAACUACACAUCCAGGUUUAUAAAGGUCACAUUAUUACAGAGGAAAAAAAAAAUGCAGCUGCUGACAGGAUCGCUAAGAGCAACAAAUACCAGGAAAGUCUCAAAACUCUGACCACUUUUUUCUCAACUGGAGUUUUGCCAAUGAUUUCUCCACCGCUUUGGAAACUUGUUCUUGCCUCUCCCCUUUUCCAAAAGAUCAUCCUCACCCCAGGGGGAAAAAAAAAAUGAAGACCUCAAAACCCAGGACAAAUUGCUCAUUUAAAGAACUGGAGUUAAGGAUGCAGGGGCUCUUCUUCCUUAAAAGCUCAUCACUCUGCAGAAAGAAUCCGAACCCAGUCCUGAUUUUUCCUGAGCAAUGGAGCAGUUUUUGGUUUGGGGUUAAUUUUAAUUUAAAAAAAAAAAAAAAAAAGGCACCAUUCUUGAGAAGCUGUUGCUAUGAGACUUCCCGGGCCUCAACAGAUGGCCCCAGAGCAGCUCUCAGCCCCAGCUUGGGCUCUGAAGCCCUCCACUCACGCAUGCCAUUAACAUUCCUGAAAUACUUCUGGAGGCAAAUGCGGGCUGGCCGCCUUCAGACUAGCUCACCCGCAGCUCCGGGCUGGCCUCCUGGUAAGGGGCUUGGGUUGAAAUUUGUUAUAAAUGAAUGAUCAGGCCUCUCUAGGAAAAGGCCACAGCCCAGACGUUGCCAUCUUUCUCAGUUUAAGCCUUUACCCUGGGGUUUGGAGUCCUUUAGUGGAGCAGGUGGGCACAUGUGCACACACGCACACACUCAGGCACACACACUGCACUCCACAGCCGAUUCAUUUCAUCAUUUGUAAGCUUCUGACCCCUUCCCAGGCACAGGGUGAUGAAGUUAAGAGAGCAAUGCAUUUAUGGACGGAGGCCUCCUUUGGUGCCCAGAGUUGCUGGGGGAGCGGUUUAAGAAUUGCUGGUUUCUCUUUUGCCAGAAAGACAGAAAGGAAAGGAAAUAAGCAGGGCAUUGGUCAGGUUCCACUUUCCCACUAACUUUCCGGCCGAAUCACUCCAUGUCCCCACCUUUCUUGCUCCUCCGAACCGGGAUAAUGACACUGACCUACAUGCAUCAGAUAGAGGAACUGAUGAACCAUGACUGAUACACGACUGUGAACUCGCUGCCUAAAUAUCAGGUCCUGGGGACCAGCCUCCACUGCUGCCGGGAGGAGCUUGGAGACAGACCCCUGAGGGUCUCAUGAUGGGGACCACCGCCUCUGGAGGGCAGGUCUGGAAGGCUGACCACAGGUUUUGGUGGGCAAGGUCUACCGGUAGCUUUAUUGGUCACUAAGGAGCUUUGGGACUUGGAAAAAAACAAGUGGCUCUACACUGGAGCUUUUCAGGGUGGGGCUCAUUUAAAUUCCAUCCCCUGAGCUUUGGCUACAAAACCAGGCCUGGAGUAUACCAGCAAAGUCCUACUGAAGUGUCUGACGCCUGGCGCUCACUCGCUCGAUCACCUGAUAGGACUGUCCGAGCAAACCUACCAGUUUCAGGUCACGGACUUCCUUAAAAGCUUUUCUCCCAAGGAUAUCCGAUGAUAUCAGAUGAUGUUGCACAAAUAUUGCACGGCCACCAUCAUGUGACGCUCGUGGUUUUGACUCUAGUCUGUCCAAUGACGGGCACAAUAACCUGAGACGGCUUAGGAUCCCGCCUUCCAAAAGCACCCAUUUGUUCUGACGUAAAUCUUCUCUCUAGUCUCCGAAAUGUGAGCAUUAGGAUUGCUGGAAGGUUUUUUUGUUUUGUUUUUGUUUUUAAAUGCCUUUUAGAAGUUUGGCCUAACAAGGAGUACCAGCCUUUUCCUACUAAGCAGGGCCAUUUUUUGUUUGUUUGUUUGUUUUGUUUUUGUUUUUUUGUUUUUUCUAGGGCCACACCUGCGGCAUAUGGAGGUUCCCAGGCUAGGGGCCGAUCGGAGCUGCAGAGCGGCCCCAGAAAAGGCAAAAAGACCAAAAAAAUAAAAAUAAAAAAUAAAAAUAAAAUAAAUUCACUUAGUAUCUACCUACCAAGAGAUCUAAUUUUUCAAUGAUCACCAUCAUCUGUACUAUUUGCACCCACGUUGUAUUUUAAAGGAUUUCUGUCGAUGUGUGUAAUGACCACAUUUCUUCUCAUGGGCAAUGUCAUUUCUGACACUUUCAUUCAUCAAAACAGUCAUUUAAAUAUUUAUAGUUAGGAUUACCAAUACAUUGCUCCUAUUACAGGAAAAUGUCUUUAUCAAGAAGAGUUAGCUAACGGCUGAGAAAGAUGGAGAUUUCCAACUGGCUAUAAAUAUUGGAAGACAAACACACAUUUCAGGAUUAACAGAUUGCAAGCAUAUGGCUUCUGAAGGCUUAUUGCCUGGUUUUCACCACUGCUGUCUGUCCUUACUGUUUAUUACUUGAAUUGAAUCAUUUAGAAUUGAGGAACAUCUCUGUAUUACCUUUGCAAUUAACGUGGUGGGUAAAGUCUCAGAACCUCUUUGGAUUUAUAAAUGGAUCUUUACCCAUUUACAGACAAUUUUCAUUAAAAAAACCACACACACACAAUUGUCUCCUCCCUGUCAGUACAAACAAGCAAAGCUGUAAGUCCAAACCACGAGUCCUCUCACCACCCCUGGGUGCCUCAACCCUGGAAUGAAAGCAUGCUGACAGCAGGUCCAAGGAGAGGUCCCCACGGGAAGUCAGGAUGGUCCCCAAAGUUACUUCUCAAUCAACUUAAAAGUACAUAAAAUGAAAUCAGAGCAGAGCUGAAGCUUAAUCAGGAUCGUGGCCCCAUAUUCCUAAGCAUCUCACUGCUGCUCAAAUCUGGAUGACCACAAGGGUGGAGGGAAGUGAGCCAAGCAGGGCCAUCAAAGCCUGUGCACCACUGACUCCCCUAAUCUGGGCAGACCCUCAAAGGAAAAACUGCUUUCAUAUCACAAGAUAAAAAAUUAAAGGGAGCUUUAAAAAGAAGUGGUAAUUAGAAUCAGAUGGUAAAUCCUGGGGUUGCAUGGCUGGAAGAAACCUUCUGCACAAGCACAUAUAUAUUUGCUGGUCCUAGUGAAGGGUCACUUGGCAUCACUUCAGCUUCUCUCACACAGGAAGGAGCGCGCAGAGAAGUGCCGACUGCCCGCAAGGACCACAGGCCUUUGUCCACCCUUCCCGUUGUACAUCUUUAUUUAUGCCUUGGAAUCAUUCUGCCAGCACAUCUGACAGCCAAAUCACGUAGGAAUUCAUCAUGAAGGCCUAACUAAACAACUUCCCUGC
rnacentral:lncRNA from 1 species